rnacentral:rRNA from 1 species
UAGUAACGGCGAGUGAAGCGGCAACAGCUCAAAUUUGAAAUCUGGCCUUCUUUGGGGGUCCGAGUUGUAAUUUGCAGAGGGCGCUUUGGCGUCGGCAGCGGUCUAAGUUCCUUGGAACAGGACGUCACAGAGGGUGAGAAUCCCGUACGUGGUCGCCUGCCUUCGCCGUGUAAAGCCCCUUCGACGAGUCGAGUUGUUUGGGAAUGCAGCUCUAAAUGGGAGGUAAAUUUCUUCUAAAGCUAAAUACUGGCCAGAGACCGAUAGCGCACAAGUAGAGUGAUCGAAAGAUGAAAAGCACUUUGGAAAGAGAGUCAAACAGCACGUGAAAUUGUUGAAAGGGAAGCGCUUGCCGCCAGACUUGCCCGUGAAGGUUCUCCUCCUCGGGCAGGCCAGCAUCAGUUUGAGCGAUCGGAUAAUGGCCUCUGUCAUGUAUCUUCCUUCGGGAUGACCUUAUAGGGGAGUCGUAGUACGGUCAGCUUGGACUGAGGUCCGCGCAUUUGCUAGGAUGCUGGCGUAAUGGCUGCAAGCGGCCCGUCUUGAAACACGGACCAAGGAGUCUAACAUCUAUGCGAGUGUUUGGGUGUCAAGCCCGAGCGCGCAAUGAAAGUGAACGGAGGUGGGAACCCUCUCCUGGGGGUGCACCAUCGACCGAUCCUGAAGUCUUCGGAUGGAUUUGAGUAAGAGCAUGGCUGUUGGGACCCGAAAGAUGGUGAACUAUGCUUGAAUAGGGUGAAGCCAGAGGAAACUCUGGUGGAGGCUCGCAGCGGUUCUGACGUGCAAAUCGAUCGUCAAUUU